rnacentral:rRNA from 1 species
CAAUUUUCAGCCACGGAUAUCUUGGCUCGAGCACCUAUGAAGGGCGCAGCGAAGUGCGAUAAUCGUUGUGAAUUGCAGAACUCCGUGAACCAAUGGCCUCUUGAACGUGCAUUGCGCUCUUGGGAUAUGCCUGAGAGCAUGUCUGCUUCAGUG